GCUCUAUUGGUGUAGUGGUUAGCACGCCAGACUCUGAUUCUGGAGACUCAGGAUCGACUCCUGGAUAGAGCU
rnacentral:tRNA from 1 species